rnacentral:rRNA from 1 species
GCAUAAUCAUUAGUUUUUUAAUUGAAAACUAGAAUGAAUGAUUGGACGAAAUAUAAACUAUUUUGAAAUUAAUAAAUAGAAUUUUUUUUUUUAAUAAAAAAAUUAAAAUAAUAUAAAAAGACGAGAAGACCCUAUAGAGUUUUAUAUUUAAAUAAAAAUUAAAUUAUUUUUAUUAAAAUAUUUUAUUGGGGUGAUAAAAAAAUUUAUUAAACUUUUUUAAAAUUUUACAAAAAUUUUUGAAUUAAAUUAUUUAUCUAUUUUUAUAAAUAAAGAUUAAAUUACCUUAGGGAUAACAGCGUAAUUUUUAUUUUAAGUUCUUAUUAAAAUAAUCGAUUGCGACCUCGAUGUUGGAUUAAAAUUUAUAUUAAAUGCAAAAGUUUAUAUAUUAGGUCUGUUCGACCUUUGAAAUUUU